CGAAAGGGUGAGGAAAGUCCGGACUCCGCAGGGCAGGGGACCCGGCUGUCAAGGCCGGGAGCGCGGCGGCAAGCGCCGCGGAUGGAAAGCGUCACAGAGAAGAGACCGCCCGUUUCCGCCUCGUGCGGGACGGGCAAGGGUGAAAGGGCGGUGUAAGAGACCACCGGGGCCGCGCGGAAGCGCGCCCGCACGACAAGCCCUCCCCGGAGCAAGAUCAAAUAGGGAACCGACGGGCUGCCCGUCCGGUUCGCGGAAGGCCACCCGCCGCGCGGUUUCAGCCGCGCGGCCCGGCGGACCGCGAUGAGGUUCCGGGUUGAUUGCUCAGAUGAAUGAUCGGACCCGCGAGGGGAACAGAAUCCGGCUUAUUCGCC
rnacentral:RNase_P_RNA from 1 species